rnacentral:rRNA from 1 species
AAUAUUUCGCAAUGGGCGAAAGCCUGACGCAGCAACGCCGCGUGAACGAUGAAGGCCUUCGGGUCGUAAAGUUCUGUCAGGGGGGAAGAAUAAAUGACGGUACCCCCGGAGGAAGCCCCGGCUACCUACGUGCCAGCAGCCGCGGUAAUACGUAGGGGGCGAGCGUUGUCCGGAAUUACUGGGCGUAAAGGGCGUGUAGGCGGCCGAUCAAGUCAGGUGUGAAAUUCCAGGGCUCAACCCUGGACGUGCACUUGAAACUGGUAGGCUUGAGUGCAGGAGAGGAAAGUGGAAUUCCCAGUGUAGCGGUGAAAUGCGUAGAUAUUGGGAGGAACACCAGUGGCGAAGGCGACUUUCUGGCCUGUAACUGACGCUGAGGCGCGAAAGCUAGGGGAGCAAAC